GAUGAACGCUGGCGGCGUGCCUAAUACAUGCAAGUCGAGCGAACAGACGAGGAGCUUGCUCCUUUGACGUUAGCGGCGGACGGGUGAGUAACACGUAGGUAACCUACCUAUAAGACUGGGAUAACUUCGGGAAACCGGAGCUAAUACCGGAUAAUAUUUCGAACCGCAUGGUUCGUUAGUGAAAGAUGGCUUUGCUGUCACUUAUAGAUGGACCUGCGCCGUAUUAGCUAGUUGGUAAGUUAACGGCUUACCAAGGCAACGAUACGUAGCCGACCUGAGAGAGUGAUCGGCCACACUGGAACUGAGACACGGUCCAGACGCCUACGGGAGGCAGCAGUAGGGAAUCUUCCGCAAUGGGCGAAAGCCUGACGGAGCAACGCCGCGUGAGUGAUGAAGGUCUUCGGAUCGUAAAACUCUGUUAUUAGGGAAGAACAAACGUGUAAGUAACUGUGCACGUCUUGACGGUACCUAAUCAGAAAGCCACGGCUAACUACGUG
rnacentral:rRNA from 1 species